rnacentral:rRNA from 1 species
UGGGGAAUAUUGCACAAUGGGCGCAAGCCUGAUGCAGCCAUGCCGCGUGUAUGAAGAAGGCCUUCGGGUUGUAAAGUACUUUCAGUCGGGAGGAAGGUGUCAAGGUUAAUAACCUUGGCAAUUGACGUUACCGACAGAAGAAGCACCGGCUAACUCCGUGCCAGCAGCCGCGGUAAUACGGAGGGUGCAAGCGUUAAUCGGAAUUACUGGGCGUAAAGCGCACGCAGGCGGUUGAUUGAGUCAGAUGUGAAGUCCCCGGGCUUAACCCGGGAAUUGCAUCUGAUACUGGUCAGCUAGAGUCUUGUAGAGGGGGGUAGAAUUCCAUGUGUAGCGGUGAAAUGCGUAGAGAUGUGGAGGAAUACCGGUGGCGAAGGCGGCCCCCUGGAAAAAGACUGACGCUCAGGUGCGAAAGCGUGGGGAGCAAACAGG